rnacentral:pre_miRNA from 12 species
GAGAGAGGAAGAGAAAGAGAGGGAGGAAGAGGGAGGGAUCUCUUCCUCUCUCUCUCUCUUUCUCUUCCUCUCUC